GAUGAACGCUAGCUACAGGCUUAACACAUGCAAGUCGAGGGGAAACGAUAUUGGAAGCUUGCUUCCGAUAGGCGUCGACCGGCGCACGGGUGAGUAACGCGUAUCCAACCUGCCCAUCACUUGGGAAUAACCUUGCGAAAGUAAGACUAAUGCCCAAUGACAUUUAUAGAAGGCAUCCGAAAUGAAUUAAAGAUUUAUCGGUGAUGGAUGGGGAUGCGUCUGAUUAGCUUGUUGGCGGGGUAACGGCCCACCAAGGCGACGAUCAGUAGGGGUUCUGAGAGGAAGGUCCCCCACAUUGGAACUGAGACACGGUCCAAACUCCUACGGGAGGCAGCAGUGAGGAAUAUUGGUCAAUGGGCGAGAGCCUGAACCAGCCAAGUAGCGUGCAGGAUGACGGCCCUAUGGGUUGUAAACUGCUUUUAUAAGGGAAUAAAGUGAGCCUCGUGAGGCUUUUUGCAUGUACCUUAUGAAUAAGGACCGGCUAAUUCCGUGCCAGCAGCCGCGGUAAUACGGAAGGUCCGGGCGUUAUCCGGAUUUAUUGGGUUUAAAGGGAGCGUAGGCCGGAGAUUAAGCGUGUUGUGAAAUGUAGAUGCUCAACGUCUGCACUGCAGCGCGAACUGGUUUCCUUGAGUACGCAUAAAGUGGGCGGAAUUCGUGGUGUAGCGGUGAAAUGCUUAGAUAUCACGAAGAACUCCGAUUGCGAAGGCAGCUCACUGGGGCGCAACUGACGCUGAAGCUCGAAAGCGCGGGUAUCGAACAGG
rnacentral:rRNA from 1 species